rnacentral:rRNA from 1 species
AACGAACGCUGGCGGCAUGCCUAACACAUGCAAGUCGAACGAGACCUUCGGGUCUAGUGGCGCACGGGUGCGUAACGCGUGGGAACCUGCCUUUAGGUUCGGAAUAACUCAGAGAAAUUUGAGCUAAUACCGGAUAAUGUCUUCGGACCAAAGAUUUAUCGCCUUUAGAUGGGCCCGCGUAAGAUUAGCUAGUUGGUGGGGUAAAGGCCUACCAAGGCGACGAUCUUUAGCUGGUCUGAGAGGAUGAUCAGCCACACUGGGACUGAGACACGGCCCAGACUCCUACGGGAGGCAGCAGUGGGGAAUAUUGGACAAUGGGCGAAAGCCUGAUCCAGCAAUGCCGCGUGAGUGAUGAAGGCCUUAGGGUUGUAAAGCCCUUUUGUCCGGAAAGAAAGCACUGGAUUAAUACUUCGGUGUUCUGACGGUACCGGAAGAAUAAGCACCGGCUAACUUCGUGCCAGCAGCCGCGGUAAU